ACCAGUGGGUAGCUCAAUUGGCUACAGCAUGGUGCUGGUAACACCAAGGUUGCAGGUUCAAUCCCUGUAUUUGGCA